UACAGAGGAUGCAAGCGUUAUCCGGAAUGAUUGGGCGUAAAGCGUCUGUAGGUGGCUUUUAAGUCCGCCGUCAAAUCCCAGGGCUCAACUCUGGACAGGCGGUGGAAACUACCAAGCUGGAGUACGGUAGGGGCAGAGAGAAUUUCCGGUGGAGCGGUGAAAUGCGUAGAGAUCGGAAAGAACACCAACGGCGAAAGCACUCUCGCUGGGCCGACACUGACACUGGAGAGACGAAAGCUAGGGGAGCGAAUGGGG
rnacentral:rRNA from 1 species